AUUUUUUUAGGAGCCACUGUACUCUUUUUCCACCAUGACUAUACCACCGUAGAGUCCACCAGCAAUGCACAGGAGUUCUGAUUUGGCUACAUCCUCACCAAAAUCAAAACUUCCUUGUAGCCAGCAGGGUGGGAACUGAGGGAGGUGGUACCAGCCUAGUAAACCAUAGUCAAGCCCUCUGGAGAAGGCAAAAAUAAAGCAUGAGAAGGGAGAAGAGCAUGAAGGUUGGCUGUAUGGUUACGACAAAAAGCAAACAAACAACAACAAAAAUAAUAAAUCAUAUUGCCUGCAAGUGAGUCUACCAGGAAUUUUUGCUGCAUUUACAAUAUUUUUAGGAAGGAAAAAAAUAAGUACAGUACUAUGAUUUUUAUUUUACAGAUAGAAAACCU
rnacentral:lncRNA from 1 species